UACGUAGGGUUCAAGCGUUAUCCGGAAUCACUGGGCGUAAAGCGUGCGUAGGUGGCGUGUUAAGUGCAAUGCGAAAUCCUGUGGCUCAACCAUAUGGACUGUAUUGCAUACUGGCAUGCUAGAGGACGGCAGAGGCAAGUGGAAUUACCGGUGUAGCAGUGAAAUGCGUAGAUAUCGGGGGGAAUACCAGUGGCGAAAGCGGCACCCUGGCGUCGUACUGACGCACAUGUGCGAAAGCGUGGGGAGCGAAACGGG
rnacentral:rRNA from 1 species